rnacentral:rRNA from 1 species
UACAGAGGGUGCAAGCGUUGUUCGGAAUUAUUGGGCGUAAAGGGCGCGUAGGCGGUGCGGUAAGUCUUUUGUGAAAUCUCCGGGCUCAACUCGGAGUCUGCAGGAGAAACUGCCGUGCUGGAGUGUGGGAGAGGUGCGUGGAAUUCCUGGUGUAGCGGUGAAAUGCGUAGAUAUCAGGAGGAACACCUGUGGCGAAAGCGGCGCACUGGACCACAACUGACGCUGAGGCGCGAAAGCUAGGGGAGCAAACAGG